rnacentral:rRNA from 1 species
AUAGUACCUUUACCUGGAUAACCGUGGUAAUUCUAGAGCUAAUACAUGCUAAAAACCUCGACUUCGGAAGGGGUGUAUUUAUUAGAUAAAAAACCAAUGCCCUUCGGGGCUCCUUGGUGAUUCAUAAUAACUCAACGAAUCGCAUGGCCUUGCGCCGGCGAUGGUUCAUUCAAAUUUCUGCCCUAUCAACUUUCGAUUGUAAGAUAGUGGCUUACAAUGGUCUUUACGGGUAACGGGGAAUUAGGGUUCUAUUCCGGAGAGGGAGCCUGAGAAACGGCUACCACAUCCAAGGAAGGCAGCAGGCGCGCAAAUUACCCAAUCCCGACACGGGGAGGUAGUGACAAUAAAUACUGAUACAGGGCUCUUUUGGGUCUUGUAAUUGGAAUGAGUACAAUCUAAAUCCCUUAACGAGGAACAAUUGGAGGGCAAGUCUGGUGCCAGCAGCCGCGGUAAUUCCAGCUCCAAUAGCGUAUAUUAAAGUUGUUGCCGUUAAAAAGCUCGUAGUUGAACCUUGGGCCUGGCUGAUCUGUCCUCCUAACCGAGCGCACGGAUUCGGUCGGGCCUUUCCUUCUGGGGAGCCCGAUGUCCUUUCACUGG